rnacentral:rRNA from 1 species
UACGGGGGGAGCAAGCGUUGUUCGGAUUUACUGGGCGUAAAGGGCGCGUAGGCGGCACCGCAAGUCGACUGUGAAAUCUCCGGGCUUAACUCGGAAAGGUCAGCCGAUACUGCGGGGCUAGAGUGCAGAAGGGGCAACUGGAAUUCUCGGUGUAGCGGUGAAAUGCGUAGAUAUCGAGAGGAACACCUGCGGCGAAGGCGGGUUGCUGGGCUGACACUGACGCUGAGGCGCGAAAGCUAGGGGAGCGAACGGG